rnacentral:rRNA from 1 species
ACUUAGAUGGCGGACGGGUGAGUAACGCGUGAGGAUCUGCCCUCAUGAGGGGGACAACGACUGGAAGCGGUCGCUAAUACCCCAUAUGCCGAGAGGUGAAAUGUUUUGUCGCCUGAGGAUGAGCUCGCGUCAGAUUAGCUAGUUGGUGGGGUAACGGCCUACCAAGGCGACGAUCUGUAGCUGGUCUGAGAGGAUGAUCAGCCACACUGGGACUGAGACACGGCCCAGACUCCUACGGGAAGGCAGCAGUGGGGAAUUUUCCGCAAUGGGCGAAAGCCUGACGGAGCAAGACCGCGUGAGGGAUGACGGCCUAAUGGUUGUAAACCUCUUUCCUCUGGGAAGAUAAUGACGGUUCCAGAGGGAAUAAGCCUCGGCUAUCUCCGUGCCAGCAGCCGCGGUACUACGGAGGAGGCAAGCGUUAUCCGGAAUUAU